CGCAGAUCGUUACCAUGGGAUUAUUUCGGACCAUCGCCCUCUUCUACCUGGGGAGUUUCGACAGCAUCGUGCGCCGCUGCAUGAUCCAGCGGGAACAGUCGAAAGCAGCUAAUAAGAGGGAGUAACAGCAGCCCAAUGCCCGUUCUCCUCCGCACCACUCCCCCCCCCCGCCCCCCUCCCCCAGCUGUACAAAUGGCCAACUAUAGGUGGGAGAAAGAAGGCUGAGCUUUUGGUGCAUUUCCGAUAUCAGUAACGGUUGUGUGGGAAAAAAAGGGGCAGAUGUUUACGUGUUGCUUGUUCGGUGACAUAAUUCCUCUAUAGACCUCAUGUUAAUUAUUUUAGUCUACUCAGAGCAUUCCAGUGACUUUUCAGUUUCAACGUGUGCACCUGCUUCUUUUUGUGGAGGCAGCUCUACAUUGAGAGAAUGGGGGGCGGAUUAACAUCCCACCGUCUGGUUUUGAAGUAGGCAGCUUUGUGCACCACUGACUAGAUGUCAGGCCUCUGCUUGCACAGUGCCGUUUUUGUUUGUUUUUCUGCACAGAGAGGAAACGCUCCAGAUAGCCUGUCUGCCCAGUUGUGCAAACAACAAAAUGGCUUAACGUUGCUUCCCACCAGGGGCCACAGUGACAACCUGAAUGUUAUUGGGUCUGUGCACAUUUUCAGCCCCCAAAAGCCAGUCAGGAUCCGAGUGGGACCCCUUAUUGGUUCUGGCGGUGUGAGUCGGGGCAGGGCGAGGCUCGCUGGUUCGAGUCAUGUCCCUGAAGGUCUAGUGGGGGCGCUAGAGAUUUGCUUUAGGCGAAGGCCGAAACGGUAAAAAGACCCGUUCUCUCUGAUUUUGACUCGCUGUCAGCGUGUCACACACCUUUGGGGCUCUGCAGCGCCUCAAAUGACUCUCGUCUAUAUUCCCUCCCAGAAAGACCUCGUGACAACCACUCUGUACCAGAUGCUUUGCAUAUCGAGGGAGGAAAAGUGCUCCGUUGGCUCCUGCAAGUCUUCCUUUGGUCCGCCACAAACGGCGGGGGAGAAUGUACUUUCAUGCAAAUCAGAACCUAUUAUUUUAAGUAGACCAAUAUUUCAAUGCCAAAAUGUGUUAAGACAAUUGUCGUGUGAGGUUUCUUUCGAUGUCGCUGUUGGUUGGUUGAAAGCGGUGGAGCAGUGCGGGGACCCGUUCCAGCCUUAAGACGUGACUACUGAUGAAGCUAAUGCUAUAAGAACGGACCUGUCCACAGAACAUCGUGACUUAACCCUCGUGCGGUUUACCACUUCUUUUUAUUCUUAAUCCUUAAUACCCUUUCAGUGUAAAAUGCCAACUGUUUUUGAGUGGGGUUUUUUUUGUCCAUUUCCAGUGUUUGACAAAAAGAAGCCUUACAGAAAUCCAAGUCAUGAAAGUGAGAAUGGAUGACUCGCGUUUGAUGAAGUUCUCGUUUGAAGUUGGUUAAAGGCGUCCUGCACUCAAGAGCUUUUCAUAAUUGCGCAUUUAUUGCUUUCAAAAUGACCUUUUUGUCUUUUACCUUGAGGUAGUUGAUAGAACACGUAGCCCAUGUAAAGGCAGGCGUUUUUAUCUUUAAGCUAUGCAAAUGGAGCCUUUGCUUACCAGAUGUUUGAACAUAGUCCAGGUUUACGUUCUGUAACGGUCUAGUUUCCCGUAUUAAAUGGUGUCAUCAGUUACGUACGAGUAUUGAACAUGAAAGUCAGAGUGCACUCUUUUCAUUCCUUCUUGCUUUUUACUUGUUUUCUGCCAAAAAAAACAAAAAUCAGAACAUCUUCACCUUGUGUGCCAUUGAAAGAAAAUGUGAGAAGUGGAACGUUUCGUUGUCUUAUUUUCUUACAUGAUAAGAAAAAUAAAUAAAUACUCGUGAAUAAAACAGUCCCCGUCUUCAUCAUUUAGUCGUUAUUGUCGAUGUACGCUUGUGGCCCGAUUGUCUCAUCUUCAGCUGCUCUCGAGCUCUGUCACAUGUCACAUCGCUUUAAUCCACCUGAAGUCAAUGACGCUUCGCCUGUCGCACCAGAGGAGGACAAGAGGGAAUUCUUUACCGAUACAUUUAUUGUGAAGUGCACGGUGGGAUCCCCAUCCACAAGGGGGUGGCUGGACCACAUCAAAGAACUCCCCCCUCAUCAGAACCCUCAUGCGCUAAAGCAGGAUCCUCACAGAGGUUUCCACGCGUUUUACUUAGCAAACUAAAUGAAGGCUACCUGGGCUCCAUAUAUUUUAUAUUCUGGGUAAAUUCGUGUGGAUUUUUUGUGUUUUCACGAUUCUAACAAUGAAAGCAGGAGAAUUGGACACCCAAGUGUUUCCGUGCAGUUCUUCCUGUGCACUUGGGAGUCUCCGAGCGCAGCCAAAGGAAUGACUUUGCGUGGCUGACGUCAGAAGCAGCUCAGCAGCAGGGAGCUGCUGCAGAGGAUAUGUGGAGAGAAUCGUGGAAGCGGAGUCAGUCCGACCUUGUCUGGCUCGCCGUCUCCCCCACACACCCCCCCCCACCCCGCCCCCUCUCCCGCGCCCUGCUUGUGCGUAAACGCCGCUAAAAUAGUUGGUGGCGCGUGAAGCCACUUGGGGCGCAUCCACCUUUGGGUUCAUUCAUGUUAUUUAGUCGCAACACUUCCACGUCUGGCUGAUGUGCACGGGAAUACAGCAACGGCACUCCGACCUCUUCCGCAUAUUGGAUUUCAAUGCAAAGAGAAGGUCGCCAACGUCCCCUUAAGGAUACGAGGAAAUGAAGACUGACGCGGACUCUGUACGCUCUUUUCUUUUUCACUUUUGAAACGUUUUCCUGCGUCGUUUUGUUUUGAUGAAGGGAUUGUGAUCAACUCGCGAGGCGUUCGCUCCAUGUGCGGGAUUAGUCGUUGCCCUGCGCGCAUCAGAGAUCAGUCGAGUUCUGGAUAAGCCCGCGCGUUGUGCAGCGCACCGAUUCGAUCAUAAUGUAUUUGAUUUAAGACAAACACCCCCGUCUAUGUAAAAAAGGAAAAAGGAAAAA
ensembl:lncRNA